rnacentral:rRNA from 1 species
UGGAAAGAUGAAUCAAAGAAGGUAAUAAUCCUGUAGUCGAAAAUGUUGUCUCUCUUGAGUGGAUCCUGAGUACGACGGAGCACGUGAAAUUCCGUCGGAAUCUGGGAGGACCAUCUCCUAAGGCUAAAUACUCUCUAGUGACCGAUAGUGAACCAGUACCGUGAGGGAAAGGUGAAAAGCACCCCGGAAGGGGAGUGAAAUAGAACCUGAAACCGUGUGCUUACAAGUAGUCAGAGCCCGUUAAUGGGUGAUGGCGUGCCUUUUGUAGAAUGAACCGGCGAGUUACGAUUUGAUGCAAGGUUAAGCAGUAAAUGUGGAGCCGUAGCGAAAGCGAGUCUGAAUAGGGCGUUUAGUAUUUGGUCGUAGACCCGAAACCAGGUGAUCUACCCUUGGUCAGGUUGAAGUUCAGGUAACACUGAAUGGAGGACCGAACCGACUUACGUUGAAAAGUGAGCGGAUGAACUGAGGGUAGCGGAGAAAUUCCAAUCGAACCUGGAGAUAGCUGGUUCUCUCCGAAAUAGCUUUAGGGCUAGCCUCAAGUGAUGAUUAUUGGAGGUAGAGCACUGUUUGGACGAGGGGCCCCUCUCGGGUUACCGAAUUCAGACAAACUCCGAAUGCCAAUUAAUUUAACUUGGGAGUCAGAACAUGGGUGAUAAGGUCCGUGUUCGAAAGGGAAACAGCCCAGACCACCAGCUAAGGUCCCAAAAUAUAUGUUAAGUGGAAAAGGAUGUGGCGUUGCCCAGACAACUAGGAUGUUGGCUUAGAAGCAGCCAUCAUUUAAAGAGUGCGUAAUAGCUCACUAGUCGAGUGACACUGCGCCGAAAAUGUACCGGGGCUAAACAUAUUACCGAAGCUGUGGAUUGUCCUUUGGACAAUGGUAGGAGAGCGUUCUAAGGGCGUUGAAGCAUGAUCGUAAGGACAUGUGGAGCGCUUAGAAGUGAGAAUGCCGGUGUGAGUAGCGAAAGACGGGUGAGAAUCCCGUCCACCGAUUGACUAAGGUUUCCAGAGGAAGGCUCGUCCGCUCUGGGUUAGUCGGGUCCUAAGCUGAGGCCGACAGGCGUAGGCGAUGGAUAACAGGUUG